AGAAACUUUAAAUUAAAUCAAAGAAGACAGCUGGUAGCGCAGGUUGGAUCAACGCGUAGAUUCCAGCUGUCCUUGUUGAAUGAUCGAGUAGCUUUGACUUCACCUUUUAUCGAAAUUGGGUGGGUGAAUGUUCAGUCUAUCUGAGUAUAAGAUCGAAAAGAAUGAAUGCAUUGAUUGCAUUUCAAGUGAGAUGUCCAAGAGAAAGGGAACGAGGGGAAGAAGCGACGAAGAAAAGAAGCGAAUGAAAAAGCAUGGCACGACGAGAAUGGACGGUGUCUUAUUUGGUGUAUUGGCUCAUUGAAUCAAUCUUUCUGGUUUGACAAGUGGAAUCUUGAGGGAUCAAUUGCUAGUGUUAAACCCAAAGAGAUUUGGAACCUUUUAGGCUUGUAUUCACACCAACCAAAUUUGAGUCAAUGGCUUCAUAAAAGCUAUAGACAAGGUGAUGCUUCUGUGUUUUACUCGUCCCUUUGGUGGAUUUGGAGAGAUAGAAAUAAGGACUUAUUUAACUCGGAUGAUUCUUGGAGUACUAGCAAAGUGGGUAGAUUGAUCCGUAGCUCAGCUAAGGAGCUACGUAUUGUUUUCUCCAUGCAUCAAUCCUGAACUCCUUCUCUUUACUUUGUCCCGGUUUCCUCCCACUGUUAAUCCAGUUAAAUUAAAUUGUGAUGCUAGUUUAAGUGCUUCCAAUGGUCUUGCUGGUUUUGGUUGUAUUUUCCGCAACUCUGAUGGUUGUUGGUUGAAAGGCUGUACUGGGAAACUUGAAACUAGUACCGUUCUACUUGCUGAGGUUUGCUAUUUGGUGGGGCUUACUGUUUGCUUGGGACAGUGGGUUCUGAGCGGUGUAUUAUGAAACAGAUUGCUUGGAUGCCUUCUCUUUGGUGAACAGAAGGAUGUUCAGUAAUGGUAUUGCAGAGUGGGAUUUGGCUAAGAAGAUUCAAGAGGUCAUGAAUGGGAAUUGGAAGGUUAGCAUAGUUUUGAUCCAAAGAUCAGCAAACAAUGUGGCUAAUUUUAUGGCCAAACCUGCUACCUCUAGUGCGGACCCGUAUUUGGAUUGGAAUCAACCUUGCGAUGAGCUUCAACACCUUAUUAGUUUAGACAUGAUCCCAGCCAUCUGAUUUGGCUUGUGUUUUAUUUCUUUUGUUUGUCUUCUUUUUUACUUGGAUGAAAAGUAUCUGAUUAAGUUCCCUAUUUUAAAUCCAAAUUUGAGGACUUUAAA